rnacentral:rRNA from 2 species
GGGGAAUAUUGCACAAUGGAGGAAACUCUGAUGCAGCGACGCCGCGUGAGUGAAGAAGGCUUUCGAGUCGUAAAACUCUGUCCUUGGGGACGAUAAUGACGGUACCCAAGGAGGAAGCCCCGGCUAACUACGUGCCAGCAGCCGCGGUAAUACGUAGGGGGCGAGCGUUGUCCGGAAUUAUUGGGCGUAAAGGGUUCGCAGGCGGCCAAAUAAGUCAGAUGUGAAAUCCCACGGCUUAACCGUGGUAAGCAUUUGAAACUGUAUGGCUUGAGUUAAGGAGAGGAAAGUGGAAUUCCUAGUGUAGCGGUGAAAUGCGUAGAGAUUAGGAAGAACACCAGUGGCGAAGGCGGUUUCCUGGACUGUAACUGACGCUGAGGCACGAAAGCGUGGGUAGCAAACA